rnacentral:tRNA from 1 species
GCCGGCGUGAUGGAAUUGGCAGACGUGACGGACUCAAAAUCCGUUGGUAGCGAUACCGUGCGGGUUCGACCCCCGCCGCCGGCA